CCCUUCCCACGCUUCGGCCCGUCGCCCCCGGCGCGCGCGCGCGUACACACGCGAGCCCAGGCAGCAUGCAAAUGAGGUACCCAGAGGCGGGGGGCCCGGGUGGGGGGGAUGGGGGAAAGAGGGUGGUCCCGGCGCGCGCGCAUAAGCGCGCACCCGGCACCUGUUCCCAGCUUCUUUGCUCUCUCCUGCGCACGUCGACCUCGCGCCCCGCCGAGCGGUCUGGGCUCGCGCGCGCAGACCCCCUUCUGGCAGCCCCUGCCACCAAUGUCCCCGCGCCGCUCAUUGGCCACCGUACCCUGAGGGCCCGCCCCGCUUGCGGGCUGGGCCACUCGCGCCUGACAGGCACGCGUCGUACCGGACUUGUGGGUGGGAGAGGGUCGAAGAGCCACUCUGUCACUUCAUAGAGGGUUAGUCCGUGAUCAUCUAUCUUGGUUGGGAGAAUGGUGACCAACAGGCUGACAUGGUGCUGGAACAGUAGCUAAGAGCUGACAUCUGAUCCAUAGCCGGCUCCAGUACCCAGACUCGAGCUCCCCACUUCUCAAUGGACAACCCCAGCUCAGACCCGUUGCCUUCAACUUUGUCUGGGGAGGAAGAAAAACCUCUGGCCUUACUGCCUCCUGUUCCCCGGGGGCGCCGAGGCCGACCUCCAGGGGGAGCCACCACCUCCAAUCGGACUCUCAAGUCCUCCCUCCCUCGAAAGAGGGGCCGUCCCCCCAGAUCAGAGCAGGAAACCCCGUUGACAGCACCAGUGGACAGCGGUGGCAGCAGCGAUCUUCUGUUGAUCGAUGAUCAGGGUGUUCCUUAUACAGUUCCUGAAGGGUCAGCAGCAGAUGGGCCCCAGGGCUCUGGUUCCAAGAGGGCUCCGCACUUCUGUCCCGUGUGCCUGAGAGCCUUCCCCUACCUCUCUGACCUGGAGCGCCACAGCAUCUCACACUCAGAAUUGAAGCCACACGUGUGCAAAGAUUGCGGCAAGACCUUCAAACGGUCCAGCCACUUGCGGCGCCAUUGUAACAUCCAUGCUGGCCUUAGGCCCUUCCGUUGUGUGCUCUGCCCUCGCCGUUUCCGAGAGGCAGGGGAGCUCGCACAUCACCACCGCAUCCACUCUGGUGAGCGACCUUACCAAUGUCCCUCAUGUAGGGUGCGCUUCACCGAGGCCAAUACUCUCCGGCGCCAUUACAAACGCAAACACCCAGAGCUUGUGGGGAUGCCUGUGCGCCUGUGCCCCCCAAACCCAAGAACCCAACCGCUGUGGGACGACGACGAGGGCAUCCCUGUUCAAGAAGGGGUACAGGAGGAGAGUCCUGAAGGAAAGGAGCCUACUUGGCCCAUAUCCUCCACCACUUCUCCCCUGUCUGGGUUUACAGCAGGGGGUUCAGCUGGUGCUGGGCGCGGGCAAGAAGGCCAAGACACCCUUGUUUCUGGUGGUAUUCCCACCAUGGAAGGGGAUCAAAAGCAGGGACCUAAACCUCUGGGUCCUGGUGCCAUUGGGCACCCUCCUGUGGACUGAGAAGCUCUGGGAGGCAUGGGCUGUGGAAAUAAAUCCCUGCCUACUGAC